CAACUUUAGAGCCAGCUCUCUCCUUCCACCAUUAUUGUGAGUUCCAUGAGCAGCACUCAGGCCGCUGCCCUUGCACGGUGUCCUCUUCUGAUGGCUCUGCCUUGUCACCACUUGCCGAAUACUUCAGACUUGGAGAAAGCUUAGUGUAUUUUUGGCCAAGGGCAACAUCUCGGAGACGAAGAUGGAAUCGCGGUGACUACAGCUGCUGCCUUGGUACAAAUUUACCCCAGCUACCCUUGGAAGCUCUGAAAGAACAGCUGCUGCUUUAACCACUGAGCCAUCUCUCUAGCUCCCCUCCCCCUUAUACCUCUUUUUUUUUUUUUUAAAUGGUUAUUCAUGAUCUUUAACUAAGCCUGGCCUAACCCAGGUUUCCUAGGGAUCAAAUGGCUUUGGGCUCUCAAAUGUCUACUCUGAAAGAAAGGAAGGAGGGAGGGAGAUCCUGCUGCUGCUUUACAGCAGGGACAACAAAAGUGAUUUAUCACAAAGGCUUACCAAGAUUCACUUCUCUCUCUCAUCAAUGUAGAUUAAAUUUAACUAUAUCUUCAAAAGCCUAAUAAACCCGUACAGUCUC
rnacentral:lncRNA from 1 species